AGAGUUUGAUCCUGGCUCAGAUUGAACGCUGGCGGCAUGCCUUACACAUGCAAGUCGAACGGCAGCACGGGGGCAACCCUGGUGGCGAGUGGCGAACGGGUGAGUAACAUAUCGGAACAUACCCUAGAGUGGGGGAUAACGUAGCGAAAGUUACGCUAAUACCGCAUACGAUCUAAGGAUGAAAGUGGGGGAUCUUCGGACCUCAUGCUCAUGGAGUGGCCGAUAUCUGAUUAGCUAGUUGGUGAGGUAAAGGCUCACCAAGGCGACGAUCAGUAGCUGGUUUGAGAGAACGACCAGCCACACUGGAACUGAGACACGGUCCAGACUCCUACGGGAGGCAGCAGUGGGGAAUUCUGGACAAUGGGGGCAACCCUGAUCCAGCAAUGCCGCGUGAGUGAAGAAGGCCUUCGGGUUGUAAAGCUCUUUUGUCAGGGAAGAAACGGUGAGUUCUAAUACAGCUUGCUAAUGACGGUACCUGAAGAAUAAGCACCGGCUAACUACGUGCCAGCAGCCGCGGUAAUACGUAGGGUGCAAGCGUUAAUCGGAAUUACUGGGCGUAAAGCGUGCGCAGGCGGUUAUAUAAGUCAGAUGUGAAAUCCCUGGGCUCAACCUAGGAACUGCAUUUGAGACUGUAUGGCUAGAGUGUGUCAGAGGGGGGUAGAAUUCCACGUGUAGCAGUGAAAUGCGUAGAGAUGUGGAGGAAUACCGAUGGCGAAGGCAGCCCCCUGGGAUAACACUGACGCUCAUGCACGAAAGCGUGGGGAGCAAACAGGAUUAGAUACCCUGGUAGUCCACGCCCU
rnacentral:rRNA from 1 species